rnacentral:rRNA from 1 species
AAUAGAUACCCAGGUAGUCCAUGCCGUAAACGUUGGGCACUAGGUGUGGGACCCCCUCAACGGGUUCCGUGCCGUAGCUAACGCAUUAAGUGCCCCGCCUGGGGAGUACGGCCGCAAGGCUAAAACUCAAAGGAAUUGACGGGGGCCCGCACAAGCAGCGGAGCAUGUUGCUUAAUUCGAGGCAACGCGAAGAACCUUACCUGGGUUUGACAUGUACGGAAAAGCCACAGAGAUGUGGUGUCCUUUUGGGCCGUACACAGGUGGUGCAUGGUUGUCGUCAGCUCGUGUCGUGAGAUGUUGGGUUAAGUCCCGCAACGAGCGCAACCCUUGUCCUAUGUUGCCAGCGGGUAAUGCCGGGGACUCGUAGGAGACUGCCGGGGACAACUCGGAGGAAGGUGGGGAUGACGUCAAAUCAUCAUGCCCCUUAUGUCCAGGGCUGCAAACAUGCUACAAUGGCCAGUACAAAGGGCUGCUAUACCGCGAGGUUGAGCGAAUCCCACAAAGCUGGUCUCAGUUCGGAUUGGAGUCUGCAACUCGACU